GUGCUUGGUCUGGCAACACUUGUAAUAAAAUUGGAACCGUAUACAAAGAAGAUUCACACUGCGCCUGCACAAGGAUGACACACAAAUCGGUGAGGCGGUCCAUGCCUCC